GAUGGUCUCGGGGCAGGAACGGGGCUCCAGCGCAAGGGAAAGGCUUCGCCAUGGCUAGCUACUUUCCUCACAUCUGGCUCCCACGACGUCCGUGGAGCAGCAGCCGCACCAGUUCAUAUCUCGGGCUUGGAAUUUCUACACGAGAAUCACAGGGCAACGAGAUAAACCUGAACACCUUAGCUCUAGACGGUGUCAAAGUUAUGGAAGAACGCUUAGCGGAUGAGCUAAGUGCCAUAUGCAACUGGUGAUUUGAACUCGAAGGGCUUAGUUCUCAAGGAAAAAGUAUGGUUGGGUAUCACAAUGACAUCAACGUGCUACAACGCUCUCUGACAUUUGGAAGGCUUGCAGAAGACAAUUGCCUAGAGGUGAACUUUGAGCUCAACAACCACCACUACAACAAAGGAUACUCCCUAGCUCAUGAUAUCUAUCCUCAUUGAUCAACUCUUGUGAAGACAAUCUCCAAUCCGAUAGUAGAGAAGAGGUCUAGGUUUGCCCAAGCACAAGAGUUCAUCCAAUUUCAUACAGAAAUACAUGAUGUAUCUGUGGGCUCAUCUUGGUUGAGCACAUGUGGGCUCACAUU